rnacentral:rRNA from 1 species
GUGGGGAAUAUUGGGCAAUGGGCGAAAGCCUGACCCAGCAACGCCGCGUGAGGGAAGAAGGCCUUCGGGUUGUAAACCUCUGUCCUUGGUGACGAAGGAAGUGACGGUAGCCAAGGAGGAAGCCCCGGCUAACUACGUGCCAGCAGCCGCGGUAAUACGUAGGGGGCAAGCGUUGUCCGGAAUGACUGGGCGUAAAGGGCGUGUAGGCGGCCGAUUAAGUCUGGAGUGAAAGUCCUGCUUUCAAGGUGGGAAUUGCUUUGGAGACUGGUUGGCUUGAGUGCGGAAGAGGUAAGUGGAAUUCCCAGUGUAGCGGUGAAAUGCGUAGAGAUUGGGAGGAACACCAGUGGCGAAGGCGACUUACUGGGCCGUAACUGACGCUGAGGCGCGAAAGCGUGGGGAGCGAACAGGAUUAGAAACCCGGGUAGUCC